rnacentral:rRNA from 1 species
GGGUGCGAUCAUACCAGCACUAAUGCACCGGAUCCCAUCAGAACUCCGAAGUUAAGCGUGCUUGGGCGAGAGUAGUACUAGGAUGGGUGACCCGAUAAAACAUUAAAAAACUACUGGUGGUAACCA